rnacentral:misc_RNA from 1 species
CUCCGUGCUCGCGCACCGAACGGUCCGCACGCUAUCCCCCUCAAUCGAUCUCACCCCCGGGCGACGAGGCCCGUGGGGCGUCCCGAACGAACGUGUUGCCUGUGUUGCCUACCCGCCCCUCGAAGGGGAAACGAUCGGCCCGACAAGGUCCCCAUUCCAUCCGGCGCCUCGCGAGGGGCUGCCCGGAGGACCAAGCAGUAGCCCCCGCGUUCCGUCCGCGCCUCGCCCCUGGCAGGCGCGCGGCUCGGCCCGCGGGGACGUACUGAUCUCUCGGAUGCGGCGCACGCGGAGGACCCGGCGGUCGUCCCGGCCCCGGCACGUCCCGAAAGAACGGAAAGACCGAAAUCUCCCGAGAGACGGCCGCGCCCGGCGCCCUGCGCGCGGGGCGCGCGACGUCGCGGAGGGUCGCUACCUGGUUGAUCCUGCCAG